GCCAGACUCCUACGGGAGGCAGCAGUGGGGAAUAUUGCACAAUGGGCGAAAGCCUGAUGCAGCAACGCCGCGUGAAGGAAGAAGGUCUUCGGAUCGUAAACUUCUGUCCUUGGGGAAGAUAAUGACGGUACCCUUGGAGGAAGCCCCGGCUAACUACGUGCCAGCAGCCGCGGUAAUACGUAGGGGGCAAGCGUUAUCCGGAUUUACUGGGUGUAAAGGGAGCGUAGACGGCAGCGCAAGUCUGGAGUGAAAUGCCGGGGCCCAACCCCGGAACUGCUCUGGAAACUGUGAAGCUGGAGUGCAGGAGAGGUAAGCGGAAUUCCUGGUGUAGCGGUGAAAUGCGUAGAUAUCAGGAGGAACACCGGCGGCGAAGGCGGCUUACUGGACUGUAACUGACGUUGAGGCUCGAAGGCGUGGGGAGCAAACAGGAUUAGAUACCCCAGUA
rnacentral:rRNA from 1 species